GCUGGGCAUCGUGGUGCAUGCCUGUAAUCCCAGCCACUUGGGAGGCUGAGGCAGGAGGAUUGUAAGUUCAAAGCCAGCCUCAGCAACUAGGGAGGCUCUAAACAACUUAGUGAGACUCUGCCUCAA
rnacentral:sRNA from 1 species